rnacentral:miRNA from 1 species
UUCAAAAGAUUUAGUUGGGAU